GCCAAGAGGGCGGGUGGACGGCGCGCCGGAAGUGACGCGAGAGAGCGAGGUCAAUGGCCCGGGUAGCUACAGCAGCCGUCGCAGCCACCGGUCACCUCAGCUGUGAACCAUGUAGGAGCCGUCUGGGUGUAGCCCUACCUGCCAGGCGGCGCCCCGCGGGCUGCCGCCGCCGCUGCCUUGAAGAAGCAGUUCAACCUCAUCAGCAGGUGGCCGACCUGACUAUGGGCCGGUCGGCUCUGGACCGAACCACAGCCCAGCCCGAGGCCAGCGGGACGCCCGCUGCCGCUCAAUCGCCCCCUGGUCCUUGGCGACCAUCUGGGACGGGCCGCUGCCUCCUCUGUAGCAACCCCUCGGGUGCCCCCUGCCCAUUGUCCCUACCCCGGCGAGCAUUGCCCUGCGAGGACUACACCCGAUGCUUCUCCUCUCUUCCGGAGGACACAGCCAGCCUGGGACCGCUGCCCUGUGCUAAAACUCCGAUGACUUCUGUCCCUAACGCUGUGCCGAGCGCUGUGCUGUGGGGGGCAGCAUUGUCAGACUUUCCGGGUUGACCCGCUGUUGGGAGUCCUUUAAGUGCAUGGUAGCAAGAAAUAAAGGGAUAUAUGAAAGCCAGUCGGAUUUGCUUAGUGAAUUUCAGAACGCCUGCGAGGGAAUUCGGAGGUGGUGCAGUCUCAGAAACCAGUAUUCCUAGGAACUUGACUGCUGCUGCAAGUUCUUGACAUUUAGAAAUUUAGAACUGGGAGACACCUUGUGCCAGUUUAAAAAGUCUUCUUCCUCUUGGAUUUGGAGACAGCUACUUCUCCAUGUUCCUUUGGUACUGCUUGAAUGCUUGAAAAGAAACAUAGGCAAACAAAAAUAAUUUAUAUACGGAAGAUGUGUGCUUAUGGAGGGAUAGCUAAUGCACUGAACAAAACCUAGCUGUCAUUAGAUGGAGGGAGGUAACAAAAGCUACCCAGAGAUGAAAAAUCUGAGCAGAGACUUUGUCAUCCGUCUUUAAACACUGCUUUCAAAUACUACUUGUAUUGAUUAGGUCUCUUGGCCAUAAAGAAAACCUAAAACUUCUUCAAGCAAAGAUAGGAAUUAGUUGUCUCCUAAGUAAUCACAAGAGUCCAAGAGUAGUGUGGCUGCAGAUUUGGCUACAUCCAGGGGUUUCACUCUUUGGGCAGGUCCAAAGAGAGACAGUCCACUGGGAGAGUUCCCAGUCUUCCGAGUCCCAGAGAGAAAGAAAACUCUUCUCCCAGUCACUGUGACAGAGUACCAGGAUCGGCUCUGAAUUAUUCUGGGUCCUAUACCUUUCCCCAGAAAUGGACUUGAGUGAGCACCACUCAAGCCAUAUGGACUGAGGUGGAGGAGUGCUGGUUCCCUAAGGUAAACUUGGGCACUGUCACCAGCAGGCAGGGAGAAUGGAUGGUAAUCAGGCAAGCAAUAAAGGUCAUGGUGGGCCUUUCGUUCGUAGUCCUGCUGAAAAAAGAUAAGUUACUGUUUUGUUUUUUUUAAGACGGAGUCUUGCUCUGUCGCCCAGGCUAAGAGUGCAGUGGCGUGAUCUCAGCUGACUUCAGCCUCCACCUCCCGGGUUCAAGCAAUUCUGCUGCCUCAGCCUCCCAAGUAGCUGGGACUACAGGCAUGCACCACCACGCCCAGCUGAUUUUUGUAUUUUUAGUAGAGGCGGGGUUUCACCAUGUUGGCCAGGAUGGUCUUGAUCUCCUGACCUCAUGAUCUGCCCACCUUGGCCUCCCAGAGUGCUGGGAUUACAGGCAUGAGCGACCGCACCCGGCCUAAAAGAUAAGUUACUGUUUCUUAAAAACCCUUAGAUGCAGAUAAUCCGGUGGAUACAGUUGGUAUUUUGGGAGAAGUGAUAACCCAAAUAGGGAGAAAAGAAUACACUGGGAUGAGGAGCUUGAAGGUAUGAGGAGAAAGUGUCAAACAGAAGGAAUUUGAGGAACAUAACUAAGAGAGCAUAGUGCCUAGGCUCUGGUGGGGAGUGUGUCAGGCGGUAUUGAUUUCUUCAGUGAUCGAAGUUUCCUCUGGAGGUCCAACUGCUUUUCCAGAUGGUUGUUUUUAGAAAGCCAAGGAUAUAAACACAAACUCCUAGAGGGCCAACCUAGUAAAAUCAGUGACUUGGGCCAGAUGAGGAUCUCACGGGACCUGGAGGACCAGGACCUACCAAAGUGGCUCUAGGCCCGGUGUGGACCACCUUUGUAAUUUUCAAGAAGGGCCUGAAAUCUGCAUUAAGCAACUACCCUUACACUCCAUGGAACUAAACAAA
rnacentral:lncRNA from 1 species